AUUCAUACAGCAACAUCUUUUUGGAAGUCUAAACAUUCACAUACACAAAUCACGACAACGACUACAGCUAAUACACAAAUCACGACAACGACUACAGCUAAUACGGAAGCAUCUUUCCAACAGCCACGACCGAGCAUCUUUCCAGCAAGCCACUAGAGCUAACAAACAAAAGUCAUAAUAACAGCUGCACCUAAUAUAAAGCAUAUUUCUGCCACAAGAUAACACCCACUACGUGUCAUGUAAACAACUGGCGCAAUAAAAAUUGCUGCAGAAAGGGAACUACGAUAAUCAGAACCUACCGGAAAAAAGGAAGCCACGAAGAGGAAAGAGGAAACUACUACAAUUAGAACUUAUUACUGCAGAGAGGAAAUUAACUAGGAAAUCAUGACCAAUGGUGAAUUGAGAGCUCAAGAUGAUCUCCAUCAUUAAUCUCGUAAUCUAUCAUUACAUAACCAAUUAUCUGAUCCUCUGGAAGCGGAUAAGUACGUGAAGCACCAACUGCAUGUGGACCGGCUCCUCUAGCCGGCCCAUCAUUUCCUUCUUCACUUGGCCUCAUACAGGGUAUGGAGUGUAUCACCUGUCUCGACGUGAUGGCCAGAUUCAUGGUCAUGGAUGAUGACUUCAACAGAUAAAGACACCAAGGGGUCCAACUACCCUAGGGUUGAUCGAUCUCGACCACCUCAACUUCCACCUGUGGACUGAUUGCAUGUUCUAUCUCUUAAUCGAUCGUUAUCCUCCAUCCAAGUCCUCAGCCUCCAGAGGUGUUGGCGACGGGGAGGCGGGCCAUAGCCUCCCCUCUCAAACAUCUUCUUGACAUCGUGGACGGUAUGAAGGUUGCCCAAGGAGCAGCAGUAGAUAAGAUUGUUCCAUCUAGAAGCGUUGUCCAAGGAUUCGUAGGAACCUUUCUCAUGCAGUAUGAUGGUCGGCAGGUCUUCAAGACCAAGCCGGUGAAGAGUCUUGUGAUCAUCCUUCAGCAAGGUAUGCGCAUAGACAAGGAUCUCAUGAGUGUCAUCUGGCACCUCCAAUUGCUGUUGAAUUGCACUCUUCAGCUGCCCGGCCGUAGAGAGGUGCCCCCGUGGAUGUAGGGUACGACUCGUUCUCUU
rnacentral:lncRNA from 1 species